GACGAACGCUGGCGGCGUGCUUAACACAUGCAAGUCGAACGGAAAGGCCCUGCUUUUGUGGGGUGCUCGAGUGGCGAACGGGUGAGUAACACGUGAGUAACCUGCCCUUGACUUUGGGAUAACUUCAGGAAACUGGGGCUAAUACCGGAUAGGAGCUCCUGCUGCAUGGUGGGGGUUGGAAAGUUUCGGCGGUUGGGGAUGGACUCGCGGCUUAUCAGCUUGUUGGUGGGGUAGUGGCUUACCAAGGCUUUGACGGGUAGCCGGCCUGAGAGGGUGACCGGACACAUUGGGACUGGGAUACGGCCCAGACUCCUACGGGAGGCAGCAGUGGAGAAUAUUGCACUAUGGGCGGAAGCCUGAUGCAGCAACGCCGCGUGCGGGAUGAAGGCCUUCGGGUUGUAAACCGCUUUCGCCUGUGACGAAGCGUGAGUGACGGUAAUGGGUAAAGAAGCACCGGCUAACUACGUG
rnacentral:rRNA from 1 species